UAUGAGCAUAGUCCGGGACGGAUAAGUGAGACGACGUUUGUGAAGUUCUCAGUGCAGCUUCGAACUCCGUCUCAGCGAACUUCUUCACCUACUACUGCUCCACCUCCUGCUGCUCCUGCUUCUUCACGUCCUUCUGUGGAUAUUUCUGAGGAGGAUGUCUCGGUUUCAUCCAUUUACCGUGAGCAACAGCGAUUAUCUGAAGAGCUUCAGAAACUAUCAGCGGAUCAGGCUCAGAUAAGGAAGGAUGUGAGCAAGAUUAAGCGUUUAAUGAAAGCGAUCUUUGAUAAAUUGGGUUGUUGUAGUUCAGAUCUUCUUCCGCAGGGUGACGACUCCGAUUGAGUGGUGCGGGGUUCCUCUUUUUGUCGUUUUGGCGUUUUCUUGACAAAAAGGGGGAGAUGAUGAUGAUGCAUGUGGAUGAUGAUGCAUGUGCAUGAUGCUGCUUUUUAGAUGUUAGAUGCUUUUUAGAUGUUAGAUGCUGUUUUUUUUUUUUCAGAUGAUGUAUUUAGAUAAUGAUGUAUUUAGAUGAUGAUGAUGAUGCUUAUAUAUGACUGUUUAUGUUUGAUCAUUAAUGAAAACUCUUGGAUCUUGACUGUGUUUUGAGAAUGUUUUUUGCAGAAACUUUCAAGACUUCAAGACUCCAUAUCUAAGUCAUAGAGUUUGUAUUAAAAUUGUGAGAAAAAUAUAAUUUUUUCUUUUAUUGGAUCGAUCAUACAGGAGAUUAUCGUUUGGUGAUUGCGAUGAUCUUCUUUUUAUUGUUUCUGAGUUGUGUGCGAGCGUUGUAUUAUGUUUUGUCACGAAAAUCGCCAAAGGGGGCGAUUGUUAAGGAUUUUCUAGGUUGGCGGAUUUCGUAAAGUCGAAUGGAGUCUUGAAGAGUUGAUCGCAAAGGUUUGAAAAGAAGAUU
rnacentral:lncRNA from 1 species